UCCAUCAUGCCUGAUACACUGUACAUUCCCCCAUGCUCCAAAUAAUUCUUUCUAGAAGAGAUACUUUCCUCCGUAACACUUUCUGACUGUCGACGGACUGGAUUAUCUUCAGUCAUGAACAUGUCCAGUUGUGAAGGAGUAAGGCCAUAAAGAUGUCGUGGAACAUUCUUGUAAUUAUCCAUCAAUCCAUCCUUGAGAUUUUCUUGUCUGAACUGCUUGGGUAUGUGGUCGAAAGACUUCCCUGAUGCAGAAGGGGGCUUGUAGCAUCUCUGUUGAACCAGUCUCUGUUUUCUUGGAUUGGUUAAGAAGACAAGCUUGGUGUUAGAGAGGAAAGAGGAUUUUGGGAACCCAGUCGAGGGACUCGCCAUUUCAGGAGUUGGAGCAGAGAGCUGAGAUAAGAGAGAGGUUGCCAUGUUCCUCUAUAAACACAAGACUGAAAGUUGCUCUCAAUCCGAAGUCUCUUUGCGCAUCCGCAGGAGAGGGACGAUAGGAAAGCUUGAGGCUUUUGUGAAUUGGGAAUUUUUCAGGUUUAAUUUUGUCUUUU
rnacentral:misc_RNA from 1 species